rnacentral:tRNA from 1 species
GCCCCGAUAGCUCAGUUGGUAGAGCGACUGGCUGUUAACCAGUAGGUCGUCGGUUCAAAUCCGACUCGGGGCG